GAAGUACUUUUAGCCUCAGAAGUCUAUUUAGAAGCAUGCUCACAUUUUAUGCUCCGUUUUUCUGUUUGUCACUAUUCAUUUCGUGAUGCUAUAUCAGCUGCAGGUGAUAUGACUUUUGACUUCAAAGUGUUUAACGAUGGAGCAAAUUGCCAACAACUGCACUACCUGACCUUUCCAUGUCAAUAAGAAGGUGACUGAGGAGUUCAGUGGAAGGCCACUGCGUUGAACACACAUUCUUAACGGAAGGAGAAAAAGCUUCAUAGUCCCAAAAGGACACAGCCUCCAAAACAGUAGGCUUCAGCGAAGUGAGGCAAAGGUCACAGUCACCCAGGAGGGGAAAGGAGAACUGGGGAAAAAGCUGGAGGAAAGGCUAGUCAGCACUGUCAAAGUGUUCUGCAAAUUUCACUCCAGGUUUUAUAUAAGCACAAUCCACUUGAUAGUGAUUAAAGAUUGUAAUGAUGUCGCAUGGUGAAAAAUAGCUGCGUCUGACUGAGAGCUCACAAGACAACAGCGAGGUAAGGAACACCACAACAAAAGAGAAAAAAAAGGAAUCCAAAAAGAAAAGAAAGACACAAAAAUAACCAAACCCUUGGGGCUGCAAAACAGUGGUGGCAAAGAACAAAGAAAGCACUGAAUAUAAUUAAGUUAGUGAAAAACAUAGAGGAAAACAAAAACUGGCGUAGGAAACUCACAGUAGCUCAGCUAAUGAAAGAGCCAUGAGUGAAGGGCAUAGGAGGAAUUUAAAGAAAAAUGGAACUAAUAUUAAAUAAUUAAAUUGGCUGCCCGCUGUAAAAGUCUUCCCAAGCGUGUUCUAACUUGUGUUCCAAGUGUUGUGCUGUCCCGCGUGUGUGUACAGGACCAAUCAUCUGCGCUUGAUCAGGCAUCACAGAGCCCCCUUCCCAACAGAUGAUCUCCGGGUGACAGACUGGACUUCAUAGGAUGGUGAAUAUGAAAGGCAUUAAUCAUGCUGGGGGGGCAGAGAUCUUGGGUUGGAAUCUGUGUUCUCUCCUCAGCUCCACGUUCACUCCAGUGGACCAGAUACUGGAGGCUAUUCUGGACCCUUCAUGAAUCUAGGAAGCGUUGGGGUCUCAAUUCCUCAGAAUACAUGAGGAGUUGCUGGAGAUCAACACUGGUUUGAGGAGGGAAAUAUGGAAUGUGGGAGAUAUAUGACUCCCUAGGGCUGCAAAAAGGUCCAACUUGUAGGAACCCAUGCUAACCCUUUCCAGUACUUUGAAGAGACCGAUGUAUCAAGGAGCUAGUUUCUGUUCUAAGGCAGAGGUGCUUAGUAGUCUUCCAUACUGGCACUGGGAAGGAGACAUACUGGUGGACAUGUUCUAAAGGAUAUUUCCAGCAAAUUCGGCACAUGGGAAAUGGGUGGCCCAGUCAUUCCGGAAGGAGGAGACGUGACACCACAGGCUGAUAAUGAAGUCGAUGGCUAUAGCCUGCCAUGGUCUCUCUGGAAUCGGAAGAGGUUGGAAGUGACCUGCCGGAGCCUGAAAAGAAAACUUUGCAUGCCUGCAUUGAAAGCAGGUGGCAACAAAGUUCUCCAUGUCCUUACUGAGAGGAGGCCACCAAAAGAACCUCUGAAGGAGUUCUGCGGUCUGAAGGAUUUCAGGGUGUCCAGUCAUGUGAGACGAAUGGGUCCAUUUAAGAACCUCGGGUCACGCUGAGGUGGGAGCAUCCAGCUGAAUAGCACCAAGGAUACAGUCUGGAGGAUUAAUGGUAGCAGGUAGGUUAGGUUCCUUGUGAGGCUCCAAUAUUCUUGUCAGAGAACUCAGUCUUCCCAUUCAUACUGCCAGGUCGAUAAGAAUUGUUAAACUCAAAUCUGAAAAAGAAGAGAGACCAAUGUGCCUGACAAGGUUUUUGGCUGUUCUCUGAUAUUGAAGGUGUUUGUGAAAAUCCCAUGAAGGGGUGUGAGGCUCCUUCCAGGAUAUGUCUCCACUCUUCAAAAGCCAUCUUCACUGCCAGUAGUUCCCUUUCCCCCACAUCGUAAUAAGGUUUAUGGGAGAAGAAGGCACAUGGAUACAGUUUAGGAGGAUUGGGACAAAACCGCUCCUAGUCCCACCUCGAAUGCAUCAACCUCAAAUUCAAAAAUCAAGGAUCGAUCUAAAAGCUGUAGAAUGGGUGCUGAAACGAACCUCUUAAUCCAAUUCACAGUCACAGUUGGAGCUGGAGCCUAUCCGAGCAAGCAACAGGAGCAAGGUGGGAUACCCCCUGGAAGGGUUGUCAGUCUAUCACAGGGCAAACACAGAUAAAGACAUACUCACACCACGGCAAGUUAUUCCAUAAGCCAAAUAAUCUACUUGGAUAUCUUGGACUGUGGGGAAAAAAAAACUAAAAAUCCAACAAACUUAUUGAAAACAUGUACUAUAAACUCUGCUGCAAGGGAGCAAUACUAUUCACUGUGCCAUCAUGGUGUUCUAAUUGCUCAAAUCGAUGACUUAUUUCAUCUUUUGACUUGCUAUGUGCUUGUCUACUCAUGCAUGAAAAGUACCACCAUUUAAAAUGUUGAAUGGUCUAUCUGUAGAUGUUAUGUACAGUACAGUCCUUCAAAUCAAGGAUUUAUUUUAUGCUGAGCAUCAGAGUAAGCUGAUAUUAAAAUUACUUUGAUAUUGUCUUAUUUUCAGCCUUUAUUUUUUACACUAGAAAAUAAACAGAAAACACCAGUAUAUCAAUGAAUUAUCAUAAACAUAUGUGUGCUUUAUGAAAUUGAAUACAACAUAUACAUAUUUAUUACAUUGGGCUAGACACACAAUUUGACAUAUACUAAAUGAAAGAAAUAAUGAAAAACGAUAUACUGUACAUACAAAAAUACAAGUAGCUACAGCAUGUUAUACU